AGGAAGGGGGAGUCUGUAGUGCUUGCGCAAAUUCAGAAGGAAGAGUGAACUGCUUCGGCAUGACAAAGAAUGCGCAAAGAGAAACCAGGAAUGAUGCCACACAAAAGAUGGCUGACAGCUUCCUCUGGCGACUUCUCGCAAGAAAGGAAGUUCGGACCCCCAAACACCUGAUAACAUCUGAGCAGAUGAGGAUCCCAAACAUGUUCCAGGACAUCAGCUUCAAACAAACCUCAGCCAAAGCUGGCAUCAGUCCCUCCUACCUAAAGUGAUUCAUGAAAUAACACCCGUUGUUCACCUGUCACUCGCCUUUGUCAUUCUUUUCCUGGGCCCUUUUCUGAUAUAAUAAACAGAUAACCCCAA